rnacentral:lncRNA from 1 species
UAACUGUGUGACCUGAGAAAGGCACCUAAACCAAACUGGUCUUGUCUCCUAACCUGUCAAAUAGGGAGAUUCCUGCUUAUCAUGCCUGACCGUGGUGAAGAUUAAAUAGGAUCAUCCAUGCAAAACUCUCAGCUGGGCGUUUCCAUCACCUAGAAGGUGUUCCAUGAUGUCAAAGCUAUUAUUGUUUUCAUACUUGGGAUGGGGAGUGCCGAAUUCAAAUCGGUUCUGAGUGCGGGUCUACUCUGACACCCUGUGUGUCAGAAGGAGGGGCGGGACUAGGAGGCAACAAAUCCAUUACAGCACAGUUGGCAGAUGUGUCCAGUCACACAGCCGGGAAGUGGACCAGGGACUGGACAGCAGCCCUCCGCCCAGGACUCGGCCAGAUGUUCCAAGCCUAGCAAGGGGCGCUUCUACCCCCACCCAUCCUCCCCGACAACCUAGGCCUGUGGCUUGGAGGAGGCAGAGGUGGGGGUCGGCAGCCGGACGUCGCAGGCCCCAGGCUGCGCGCAGGAAGCGGCUCCAAGGUUGUCCUAGAGCCUCAAAGCGGCGGAAGGGAGGGAGCAGCCGGCACCUGCAUUGUGCGAGCCCCGCUCCCCGCUGAGCUUCUGUGACCUCUGGCUCGCGCUCUUGGCAUCCGCUGCUGGGGCAGGGCCCGCGGCUUUCAGACAGGUCACCAGGUUCUGUGGGCUCUUGUCACUGACCUCAGCAGCCUCAUGCUGACUGCUCUGCUGGCCUGCUGUGCACUCUCACCAAACAGAAUGCUGACUCUCCCUCCUGGGAACAGGCCCUGGGCUGGGCCUUCUUGCCUCUGGGCCUUCGUUCCCAUCACCGACCCUGCCCACCACAGUCUCUCUCACCCAUCUCUGAUGACUGAAGUUCUGGCCACCCUUCAAAGCCCAGCUUCAUGGAGUGCCUUUUGGCCAGAGCUCGGUGUGCCUUGGAUUAAAGUUCUUUGCGUUCCUCUCUCUCUCCCCUACUGAGCAGUUUGAGCUCCUGUGUGUCCCUUCUUCUGUGCCCGGCGUGGUACCUGAUAUGCUGAGGAGUUCUGAG